CUUGUUACGUUUAGUUUUGUUAGUCAUUAAAAACGCAAAACGCAUUAGCCAAAACUGAACACUGUUAAAUUGUAAUAAAAAUAACAUCAAGCCGUAAGUCGCAAUUUGUGAACCCCUGCGCUGCACAAGCAGUCAACAAGAAGGAAACUUUUGCAUCUGUCCACCACAUACGGACGGCGUACACAAACACACCGUUUGCCUUCCGUAUUCGAAGCAAUGAUAAAUCAUCAUUGAUCAUUGAUCAGCGCAAAGCCGCUAACAGCGGCAACGUGGACACUACCACCAACAACACCCAGAUCACGAGGAGAGGCGCCGAACAUUAGCUCACCACCGAAGUGGGAUGCGAGCGACAAAUCAUCGACACGCGAACAAGCCAGCUAUUACACAAUCAAGCCGAUCAGAGCAGCAAGGCAGCUUGCUGGCUUGGGCAAAUCAGUUCGUGCCGUAUCAGUCCCCAAGUGCAGUCGUGUGAUCGCGUCGCUCCGGCAGAAAUUAACCGCAGUUAGAGUGAAAAUUAACAGAUUUCGGACCGCUAAUUACUCGGCUGGAAGACGCGGGUCUACCAUCUGCACCGGUCGAGCUUAAGGGCUUGGCGGAUUGCGUGGGCAAGCUAAUAGCAGGCAGGGACGCCAGCGCUCACACACACACGCGCUGGGUGUGGGAAGCCGCGUGGCGAGAAAAGCGGUAGCGAACUAGAUCUUUGGAGGCCAAUCCGGGCCGGAAUCGACGCUCAAGCCGCGUGAGUCAGCACUCUCGAAUUGAAAGCCGAAACUGUCGCUCUUACCGAGGCAAAAUCAUCCGCGCAGAAGGAUAAUCAAGAAAACAGACGUCGUUCGUCGACGCCGCGACUUUUCCGCUACGGAGAGCGAACUGCCAGUCCACCUGGAGGUGAUCGGAGCUAGAAUCCGGCGAGAAAGAAAGGAGCCCCUUAAUAGGGUAAGAUGCCGUAAAACGAUCUGCAAGAACGCGACAGUGACGACCCAAUGUCCGCAGGGCUUCUUUUUUAUAUUGCAGUUCAGAUUGAGGCAACGUUCGCGGGCUAGGAGUUAGCGAAUCGCGCUCUUCCGUACAAUACGCGUGCGCGGCGACAGAUCACGCUGGCCAUCGUCCGUCGGUGGGUCACGGCAGAGAAGAGCGGAGACAAGAUCCGUGACAUUCGGUCUGGUUUUGAGGAACCGAUCCAGUGGGAGGAGUUGUAACGAUCAGCGGGACUGAACCCCAUGCGGGCCGGACCAGCAUGCAGCCAACGACAAGGGGCGCCCCGAGCGACCGAUGGACAUCCGGUCAGCAUGGUCCCAUGGUUCACACCGAGCGCUGGCAUUGAUGGUAACCGUGAGUUUUGACAAAUGUACCUUAGAUCUUAAGUGAGCAAACUUUAGGAGCUAGGAAGAUAGACUAGG